AUUUGAACUGAAGGAGGCAUCCUAUAAUUUGCAAAAGCUUGCAACAGAGGGUCUUGUACUUGACAGCGUUAUUCAGCUCGAAGGCGCUGAUAUAGACACGAAGAAGAAGCAUGUCCAUCAUGAUGACGACGACGACGAAGAUCAUGACGACGACGACGAAGACGAUGAUGAAGACGACGACGAUGAUAAGGAUAAAGUGAAGAAAGGAAAGGGAGUUGAUAAAGAAAAAGACAAGAAGAAGGAGAAGGAGAAGAAACAUAGAAACAAAAAGAUCAUUGAAAAGGAUGUGCAGGCUUAUAAGCCAUCUCAUGAU
rnacentral:lncRNA from 1 species